GACGAACGCUGGCGGCGUGCUUAACACAUGCAAGUCGAGCGGUAAGGCCCUUUCGGGGGUACACGAGCGGCGAACGGGUGAGUAACACGUGGGUGACCUGCCCUCAGCUCUGGGAUAAGCCUGGGAAACCGGGUCUAAUACCGGAUAUGACUCCAUGACGCAUGUUGUGGGGUGGAAAGCCUUGUGCGGCUGAGGAUGGGCCCGCGGCCUAUCAGCUUGUUGGUGGGGUGAUGGCCUACCAAGGCGACGACGGGUAGCCGGCCUGAGAGGGCGACCGGCCGACACUGGGACUGAGACACGGCCCAGACUCCUACGGGAGGCAGCAGUGGGGAAUCUUGCGCAAUGGGCGAAAGCCUGACGCAGCG
rnacentral:rRNA from 1 species